rnacentral:lncRNA from 1 species
UUGAAACUCUUGGGCAUAGCUGAGCCACAGCAUGGGGAUUCUUGAGAGGAAGAGGAGCGGGGAGCCAGGGAGAUGUCUUGCUUAUCCAGUGUCUCUUCCCUGGGUAUUCAGUGCCCAGGGGCGGCUCGUGAUGGUGAAAUAGUUGCUCACCAGUGUCCCCUCUGUCUCAGGCAUGCUGCAGUUGCGAGGGCCCAAGCAUCCUCCUCCAGAACAGUCACCCCGUCGAGCAGUGGAGCUGCCCGGCCAGCAGACACCCCCUCUUCCCCAGCCUCUGCCAGGUAGGGUCACAGCCCGACUCGUAAUUCUGAGGUGGGCACGACCAGGCCCAGCUUGGUUCCCUGUGGGCGCAGGAGCAACAGCUCCCCGCUACCUGUGUGUGGGCAGGGCUGUGGACCAGCCAUGGCUCCCUGCCUUGAUGAUAACCCAGCUUCUCUCCUGUUCACAGAGGAGGCAGAGCAGCUGCAUCGCAGCCUCGCAGCACCUCCCCUCCGGCUGUCAUGCUGCAAAAUGGGCUGAGCGAGGAAGAGGCACUGCAGCGAGCUCUGGAGAUGUCUCUGGCAGAGUCAGCACGCAGCUCGGCGCAGCCACCCAGCACACAGGAGGAGGAGGAUCUGGCACUGGCCCAGGCACUGUCAGCGAGCGAAGCCGAGUACCAGCAGUCGCAGCGGCAGACGCACGGUUCAAAGCCAUCAAACUGCAGCAUGUCAUAGGCAGGGUGUGCCAGUGGACGUGGGAUCCUGCUUGUGACCUGAGGAGCAGCUUGGGCCUCCCAGGUGGAUGCCGUGGGGUUCUGGCCUGGACAUUGACAACAAGAGCCCCCCGCCAGGGACAGCUCAUCUCCCUGGGGGCUGUAAGCGAGCCACCGAACACACACUGA